UAAAUACUUCCUUCGUCUUAAAUUUUUUGUCUUACAUUUGUCUAGUAUGAAUGUAUAUAGUCACGUUUUAGUAUUUAGAUACAUUCAUUUCUAAACAAACUUAAGAUAAGAAUUUUGAAACGGAGGGAGCACUAC
rnacentral:pre_miRNA from 1 species